AGACGUGGUGCCGUGUCCGGAGCGACUGCUCCACUGCUCCGGUGGCCUCUUUCACACCACUGAGCUGGGUCCUGCACUCCUACUGAGGGAGGGAAUGGGCUGAGCUUUCCGUUUUGCAGAUUUUUGGGAUUCAGGAUCUGCUUGGGGUCACAUGCAGAUGACAGUGAUGUUUCCUCAUCCUCUUCUUGCUUUGCUUGUGGUUGGAAAUAUUUUUUUUUGUUUGUUUGUUUAUUUUUUCUUCAGAGGAAAGGCAAAGGACUAAACCUUUCAAGCUGCUCAUGAUCUCUUAUUGAUUUUAUGCAAUUAUAUUCUUAUUUAUAACAGCAUCAGGUCAGAAUUAGGCUUUUUCUACCAGUGUUUAUGAUGAUGCUGGCAAUUUUAUGAGUCCUUGUCUUCCAGACCAAAUGAGUGAUUAAAGUUUUGAGUGACCUUGUGGUAGCUACAGUUUUUUGCAUUUCACUCUGGAAAAUCUGAGCAAGAGCAGCCAUUGGCCUCUUUGCACUGGCGGGGGGGGGGGGGGUGGUGGUGGAUUUGUUUGUUGGUUGGUUGGGGGUUUUUUUGGCUGGGAUUACAGGGAUAAUACUUUAUCAGAAAUCCAUAGUUUUUUGUGAUUCUUAAAACAUUCCAGUGUAUUUUACAUUUAAAUAGAAAUGAGGCCGCCUUGAAACAAAUUUAUUCCGGUUGGCUUUGCACAUUGAUGAUUAAAGAACGUGGUUCAAUUUUUUUGUCUCAUUCUGAGCAAUGUCUCAUUAGAUUUGCUUUUUAUUGCUUUUCAUAUCCAUCAUGAUUUGUGUCAGCAGAAUGGUUAUAUAGAUGGACAGCUUAUUAUCAGCUUUAAGUGAAGAAACAGAACACAAGAAUGGUUGCUAAAAAAAGGGAAAGGUAAUUAACACUGGGUGCCAGAAUAUAAAUGAAGCCUGACAUUUUCUCUUUGUAAAUCCAGAUUAACCCCUGUCUUAACGUUACAGAGUGCAGGAGGGAAUGCUGUGCGUCUGCCCACGUCUCUGCAUCUCCCCGGGUGCUGCGUGUCCUGGCACAGCGCGGCACAGCGCGGCGAUGCCUGGUGUGGCUUCAGCUGCUGGCGUGGUGGGAUCUGAUAAAGACGCAGAAACUGCUGCAGAGCUCCUACACCCACAUCUGAGCUGCUUAACCUGCGCUGCAGUUAGCCCACGGUGAGAGCUUUUGAAGGGAAACCCAGAUUAUGAUGGAAAAGUUCAAAGAAUAACACCACAAAAGGAGCUGCCACGGGAAGGUGUUGGUCCUGCUGCCCCAGGACUGCACAGGGAGGGCUUUGAGGGGCACUUCAGUCCUUGGGGGGCUCUCAAGCUGCCGUGCAUGUCAGAUGCCCAACUUGCCCAGAAACACCUACUGGCAUCUGUAAGUUGCUGAAUAUUUUGAAAACGUGGUUGUGAAUGUUCAGUGCCCCCUCUCCGCCUGUUCCUCCUGCCAGUACAGAAAAGCUUAAACUUUUGUCCACGUGUGGAAGCUGCUCUGCCUAACUUCUUUCCGUGCAGUGAGCCCGGGGCUGCUGAUGCCCACUUGGAGAUGUGUGCUUCAAACAGCUUCGGGGAGACCGGAGCGUACCACGGAUCCUGUUUUGCAGCUGUGAACUCUGGGUUGGAGACAUCACCCAGCUUGCCUGGGGCAGGCAGCUGUGCCAGCUGGGAUGACAGCCCCGGUCACCCACCGCCCAGCAGAUGUUCUGCUGGCACCCGGCUGUCCUCUCGGCGAGGAGCAGUUACGGGUCCUGCCGCUAAAGCUGCAGUGUGGAUCCUAAUGAAGUAGCGCUCGCUUGAGCCUCGAGCAGUACAGAGACCUGCUGCUGCUGGACCGUUGUGAGGUUGAAAAUGCCCUUAACACCUCUGAAAAGCAACCAGUAGCACCACUGAUGAUUGUCUGAUAACUGAGCAACUAAUGUGUGUCACCACUGUAUAGUGUUUCUUUUGCUAUAAUAUGGGGCUUUUAAGGAAAAAAUGAAACCUGCCAAGCAUCAUUACAUGAUAAGCCUACCAAGCAAGCAACUAUUCAGAUUUCAGUGGCCUUGACUGAAGAACCUGGUAGAGUUCAGACAACUGGAAAAUGCAAGCUUCUGGCCAGACUCCAGAUAAUUUACCAGUACAUUAGAGAUAAUUUUUUGCUGGCUUCAUGUAUACCUGGUGAUUCCUGUUCAACUAUGGAAUUUUUUCCUGUUCUCGUAUAGAUCCUCGUUAUUUGAGGUGACAUAUUAGGUACCAACCUACAGUUUGUUGCUCCUACUCCUUCUGAUCAUAUACUUCUCAUUGAAAUGGAAGUGAAAACAAGAAAACCUUGGGAGAAAUCUGAGUGGGAAUCAUGGGGAGUGUAUUAGCAUUUGGUGAGCUGGGCACAAGAAUCACUCAGGAAAUUAAAAGGAGGAUGAUAUUUUGAGGUGAUAAAACAUUAAAAUACGAAACUUGCAUUUGAGUCAGAUCCAGCCUCAAUUUUUCCUUUUUAAGCUGUAGCUUAUGAAAAGUUGAGCCCAUGCCAGCAACAAAUGAAGUCUUUGGGCUAUUGCAAAAGGGAGAGGGGAGAAUGAAUUAAAUGGUGUUAGUGCUGGACUUCUUGGUGAAGUCCUGAUGAAAUGAAAUGAGAAAUGCAGAAACAGGUCAAAGGACAGAGAAGGUGGCCAUGUAGUUGAAACAAAAAGGCAGGAAAGCCUACUUACAUGACGUGUUAAUUAAGGCAAUGUAGUUGUAGCCAUCCCUGUUGGUGAGGGUCACCGGGCAAGGGAGGAGGCAGUGGAAUGGCUAUUAUUGCCUCUUUGAUAAUGAAUUCGGUUUGGCCAGCUCCUACUGACACUCACAAACAAGAUGGACAGCGACAACUCUUCAAAAGAGUCAAAUCCUUAAUGGUGCAGCUUCAGCUUCAGUGGUUCUCCUGCUGCUCCAUCAGCUGGAGACACAUGGUGAUCUCGAGAUACCCAGCACAGAUUCAACCUGGUUGGUGUCCGUAUUCGAUUGGAAGGUCUUUAAUUUACAAAAAAAAUAGCAAUACAAAUCCUUCCCCAUCCUCCAGCUUCAUGCGAUUUUUCAGUCCAACUCAAAGCUCCUUUGAAGGGUGGCCAGAGAGGUUGGGGAAGGUCUGUGCCCUGGUGGGAUGGAGGCUUGUAAAAAAGUUUCUGCAUUUCUCUGGAAAUAACAGAAAAGAAGAUGCAGGCAUGAAAUGGGGGAGGACGUGCUGUACAAAUGGCUUCUGGGGAUGGCUUAGGACGAGGACCGUCCCACGGCUGGUGUGAGGGCUGCCAGCUACAGCGCCGGGGCCAGGGGCGUUCGCCGCUGCGCUGGAUUUUGGCCAAAACCGCUCACUAUCCUCUAAAGGUGAUGGCUGAGUGUCGGCACGUGGACCCUGCGACCCUCCGCAGGCAGCGCGGGGCAGCGGGUGCCGGAGCAGGCGGCGGUGCGGCCGCGCGCGGCGGGACCCAAGGGGGAGCGGAUCCUGCGUGGGCUGCCCGCGGCGCUGGCUGCGCCUGGGCUGGUACCUGCACAGCCCGAGCGCGGAGCGAUGCGGCGGGGAACGAACAUCGUUUCCCUCCUCUUGUAUGAAGUCUCAUUUAUUCAUUGGUAAAGUUAUAAACCUUUUGCUUUGUUGCUUUUUUGCUUGUUUUUUUUAAAAUUAUUUUUAAAGUAGACAUAUGUAGCUCUGCUAUGGCCUACUGGAAAUAGAUGUAAAGAGAUUAACAAAGCAUGCUGUAAAGGCAGGAAUAAAUAAAAUAUCCCAAAUGCAAUGUAA